AUGUGGCGUAGCUACAGGGGUCGCAGGCCCCUCCAGGACAGACAGAGAAAGCGUUAUCUUCAGGGCCUGCAGGCUGUGGGCGGUGCGAUAGGGGGCGGCCGGAGGCAGAGAGGCGUACCUGCAGUGAGGAGAGGGAGUGGUCCCGCUCCCAGUCUGGGCGGCAGUCCUACUGGCCGGAGGAGGAGGAGGCGGAGCGUACAGCAAAGCUGAGUGCUGCUGGGCCUGGCAGCGCUGCUGGAGUGUGGGCACGCAGAUGUUCAAGUGGCUGUGAGGUGAGGGCUGGCUGACUCUGGGACUGGUAAAACUUACUCUGGAGUCCUGGACUAUUAUAUCUGGGGAGGAGGGGGGAGCAGGACCCUGGAGGUCAGGACCAGUACAUUUAAGGAGAAGGGGGGAGCAGGACCCUGGAGGUCUAGUCUGGACCAUUAUAUAGGGGGGAACAGGACACUGGAGGUCUGGACCAUUAUAUUUAGGGAGAAGGGGGAAGCAGGACCCUGGAGGUCUGGACCAUUAUAUAUGGGGAGUAGGGGGAAGCAGGAACCUGGAGGUCUGGACCAUUAUAUAGGCAGGAGGGGGGAGCAGGACACUUGAUGUCUGGACCAUUAUAUCUGGGGACUGGCGGUGGGAGAUUUAGGAUGGGGGUGGGGGUGGGAGGUCUAGGAGGGGUGUGGG